rnacentral:lncRNA from 1 species
UUUCAAAUUCCUCCCUCCCCCAACCAAGAUCAAUUUUACAAAGAAAAACUUCCUAAUUCCAUUCCAUUCCAUUCCAUGAAACGAACGCUACCUUAGAGAAACGUGGUACUCUUUUGAAGGCCAAUUGAAUAAAUUUUGUUGUUGUUGAAUGAAAGUAAGAUCUUUGAACAAUUUCAUUUAUUUGUAGUUAUUCAUUUGAGGCUUAUUUGUUGCCACAAUAAUUCACAUUUAUUGCUUAAUUUGUUUUUGUGGAGAGACGACUAAAGACGAAGUCAAUCUGGCGAGCCUCCGGUGUCUCCUUUAGCACGUGACUUGUACCAAUCGAAGGCUUAAAACAUGGCGAACCCUAUGGCGGUGUUCGAUUCUCUAAUCGUGCGUCGGUAGUAGUUCUGUCAAGACUAAAGUGUGAAAAGCGUUAGGGCUUUUGGUAAAUGGAACAACAGUGAUAGUGUGAAAAGCGUUAGGUUCUUCGGAUGACUAUCAGAGAGGGCUGACAAGUAGAACAUGGUGUCGGAGACUCACAACCAAGUUGUAUGAUGGACUUUCCUUAUCACUAGGCCUAGGCAUCAUUUUCAGAGUCCGAGGAGCUUAACAUCUUGGUGCAGUCAGGCUCUAUGUGUUUGGAAAUUCAAUAAUUAAGAUGACGUUUGCUAAGUACCUCCCAGCAGUCGAUCUUACAGCUAACAUGAGAGAGCUUCUAACGGAGUUGUAAUUGUAACCGAAAAGAAGCUCCCAUCCAUUUUAGUCGAUGAGACAUCGGUGCAAAAGAUCCAGAUUUUGACUCCUAAUAUUGGAGUUGUUUACAGCUAUUUAAGAUGAAUUUGUCUUAGAGCUUUCGCUUGCACGUUUGAAGGCUUAUGCUGAAUUUGUCUUUGGUAUGGGUUUAUAUCAGGGUGUUCCGUCUACUCUUGCUUUCAUAGCCUUCGAACUCCCACCUAAUGGAGCUAUUGGCACUCGGAUUCUGGAGUUCCUAUUUCGCUCCAGAUCUGAUAUGAUUGCAGGUGAUCAAUCGCCAGAAGCAUUGAUGAGGCUAUAACAACUGGCACUACACUCUUGUUGUCAUCUUCUACAUUUGUUCUACAGGUAUAUUGCUCAUAUAUGUAUUACAAUAUAAAUGAAAGAGCUCAUGCAUUUCUUUAACGUGUUUGAAAAAUUUUGUAAUUUGAUUUACUGGAAUGAAAGUCCCCUUGUAACACUACCGUAAUAUCUUAAUCUUUCUUUUUUUGCUUGUUGUGUCCCGAUAGAAUUUGCUUAGGAAGUAGCUUAAUAAAAGUGCGUUUGGGUCAUGACCCAUUUAACUAAGAAUUAGACCCGAACCCAUUUUAAACAACUAAAAGUUAGCAUUUAAUUGUAGUUUGUUAGUAUUGUUGCUAUGUUAUUUGUGUUUGUAGUUUCGUUUAACACGUUUUAACAAGUUUAAAUUUAUUUAAUUUGUAUGAUUUUUUGGUUUAAAAACCUGGUAAUUUUUUAUUUUUAUUUUUUAUGUACCUAUAGGGAUGACAUAUGGUCUCUAUAGGUAAAAAUGUUUUAUUUUUUAUUUUUCUUAAACGUACACCUAUAGGGACGACAUGUCGUUCCUACAGGAUUUCCAGGUUUUUUAUUUUUUUUUUUUUUAAGUUUUUAGGGACGACAUGUUGUCCCAAUAAACAU